AUGUUGAUCCAGUAAAAUCAACUCCAUUGAAGCAGGUUUGUUUUCCCCAGCAAACCCAUCAGCAAUCCAUAGUCGAACAACUCUCACUUUGAUCCUCCAAUUGUGAUUUGGAGGGCACAGGGUCACAACGGGAUCAAUUGCAACAGACGAUGCCAUCAAAAACCAAAAACGAAUUACCAAUUACCAAUUUAAAGACACAAAUUUUUGUUCUCAGAAUAAUGUUGA
rnacentral:lncRNA from 1 species